CUGCGGGUACCUUUUGGACUGUCAGCUAUGACAACCCCCUUCCUAGUCAUGGAAAAACAUGUUCCUGUUUAUGGCAAAGCUGUCGCCAUUUCGUUAGCAUCCAAUUCUUAUUCAAGUUGAUAGCAUUC